AAAUCGUACCCCAAACCGACACAGGUGGUCAGGUAGAGAAUACCAAGGCGCUUGAGAGAACUCGGGUGAAGGAACUAGGCAAAAUGGUGCCGUAACUUCGGGAGAAGGCACGCUGGUGUGUAGGUGAAGUCCCUGCGGAUGGAGCUGAGACCAGUCGAAGAUACCAGCUGGCUGCAACUGUUUAUUAAAAACACAGCACUGUGCAAACACGAAAGUGGACGUAUACGGUGUGACGCCUGCCCGGUGCCGGAAGGUUAAUUGAUGGGGUUAUCCGUAAGGAGAAGCUCUUGA
rnacentral:rRNA from 1 species